rnacentral:rRNA from 1 species
GCAAGUCGAACGGUAAGUUGAGAGCUUGCUCUCAACACGAGUGGCGCACGGGUGCGUAACGCGUAUGCAAUCUACCCUUUUCUGGAGAAUAGCCCUUGGAAACGAGGAAUAAUACUCCAUAGUAUAACGAUUUCGCAUGUUAUUGUUAUUAAAGCUUCGGCGGAAAAGGAUGAGCAUGCGUCCCAUUAGUUAGUUGGUAAGGUAACGGCUUACCAAGACUGCGAUGGUUAGCUGGUCUGAGAGGAUGAUC